UCCAAUCAAGUUGACACUCAGUAUUAACCAUCACACUUGCCAUGAGGUGUCCUUAUAUAUUUUAAAUAUUUGAUAAUGACCAAGGAAAGAAGAGUUAAGAAUGAUUCAUUUUAUCACCAUUUUUACUGGAAUAGCUAUAUUCUCCUGGUGCCAGACUCUGUUUUAAUGAUUUGAAAUACAAAUACACUUUUCAAAGCGAUAUUCAUUUUUCUCCCAUGCAUCUAUAAGCCUCUUUAAAAAGGGUGAAUGCUAUUAGGUGAAGUUGAUAAUAGCAAAAAUGAGUGGUGGAAAUUUAACCCUAUAUUUUAAAUGUAAAUCUUAAUUGGGUUCCAGCUGACACUGAGCCAUGUCUACCUACUUCUCCUUUUAUAUUAUCAUUUCAUUUCUAUUGGGUCCUUUGGCCAUGUCUUUAAAAAGUACUCCACUCACUCUCUUUUCCCUUCACAGUAAGCAAAGAAGUAAAUCCUCCAAUCAAAUAAACAACAGACAAACGGUUUUAAAUAAAGACAAACAAAAGGAUGUGGGAUUUACACCUGGCUUUUUGUAGCCAUGUGAUUCUACCACCUGCCUUUAGUUCCCUGCUUCCUCUCCUGCUGGACGCCAUUGCUAUUAUUUCCCUGCUUCACUGUCUGCCCUGUGUGUGCCCUUAUAUCUCUCAUUCCCCAUCCUCACUUCUCUGCUUCCAGUGAAGAAAAGGGAAAAUCUAAAAUCAGAUUUAACAUUGAGAGCCAGAUGACAGAGUAUUUUAUCGUAUAAUCCAAGCACUAAAAAAAAAAAUGGCACUAAUAAUUGACAAGGCAUGACUAAAUUGCCUUGCCUUUCCAUGAAAGAAGAAAAGAGACCUCCUAGAAAUUCAAUUGAUUAUUUUAAUUCUUUUUCUGAUCUUAUGAUUCUCUCCCUCCUUGAUACCUGUAUUUGACUAAGAUCAACAUUCAUGUGAUUAUAUGAGAAUUCUGUCAAAUGGGUAAACAGACAGUCUUCUUAAUGCUAAAGCAACUGUGAAAUAAGUUUCUUUUCAGUUUAUGGUAAAUAAAAAAGCAAGUUUCCCUGAGGACUGGCAGCUCAGAUGUGAGUGUGUGAAUUUUUCCCCUUCAAUGUUUCUUAAAAGAAGUAAGUAGAGAAGUUCGCUGUAGUACGCUACAUAUGAGUUCAGGCCAUGGUUCCAAAUUGUAGGGGAGCUAGAGACCAUGAAUGUCCUUGAGAUAAUAUCGGUACCAUCACUCUAGAACAUUGUUUAUAACCAUCACGAUGACGUUUCUAGUAAUCUCUCAUAAUAUCUUAAUGAAAUAGAUUAUGUAUAGUAAUAAAGAAAAAGAAAUUUCUGCAUUUGACAUUAUUUAGUUGAAGUUACAAUAUAUUGAGAAGUAUAAGGAACAGGGUAAAUUUGAAAUGGAGAAUCUCAUACCAUUCAUUCAUUGAGUGGUAGGAGUUAAUGAGCUCCUGUUAUAUACAGAGAACAGUUCUCUGGGAGAUAGCAAAAUAAAUAGAACACUGUUCUUAUCCUGGAUGAGUUCAAAAUCUAGUAUCAAAGACAUGUAAAUAAUAGUAGCAUAAAAUGGCUGUAUAAAAGAAAUAUUUUGAUUGGGGAAGCUAAAUAAUUAACUGUUGAGGUUGAUUUUUAGAGGCAAAAAGAAGUAUUUUUCCACAUAAGAAAUACAGACAGAACAAUUGAUAAUGAAGAUGUAGAAUGAAUAAGCACAGAGAAAUAUGAAAGGUGAAGUGGUUGAGGGAAUUACAAAUUGCCCAGUGUGGCAAAAACUAACUUGCCUGAGAAGGAUUAGCUAAGAAAAGUCCAAAAACAAGUGUGAGAACCUUUAUAUUCCAUCAAAUCAUUAACAUAUGCAUAAUAUCAGAUAGUGUUUGUUUAUAUAUCAUUUGACAGGGUGUAUGUGGUCAAACUCCUGCUUUUCUUGAUUCUGUGAACAAUAAUUACUAAAUAAAUAUAAGAUAGGAAAAUCAUAAAAAAUAUUGAUUUCUUUAUUUGUGAAAAUCAACCACUUGUGGAAUUCAGAUAUUCAAAAAGUUUUUUCUGGCCAUUACUUAAUUGCUACUGUCUCUUGGAAAUAAUAAUAUAUGAAUAAGAAAAUUAUUUUUUUAUUAUGAUAGGAAACUAUCUCUUCUAAAUAUAGAUACUUAACUACUUAAGAAAAAUACUAGUAAAUAGAAACUAGAAAUAUUGUAAAUGAAUUCCAUAUCACAAAUUAUACUCUUAACCAGGAAUGCAAGGAGGUCUUCAGUAAUAAUACAUUUUAUUAAGUAAUAGAUAAGUAACGCAACAUUUCACUAGUUGGGAAACAUUCGCUUAUGUUAGUAACCAUUCUUAAUAAAAUUGAGAAUAGUAAAAUAUUUUUGGCAUGUUAGAAUACACUCUAAGGUGGCAAAACAGAAAGCUCCACCAAUCAUCAUCCCUUACCCACAAGGAUACCAAGUUAACAACUAUCUACACAGAGAAACACCUUAUACGAACCCCAAAUCAUGUGAGCACUCACAGUACCUGGUUUUAACUUUGUAUCCCUGAAAGAAGAACUGAAGAUAUAGAAAAAACAGUCCAGAGUCACUGAUGCCACCCCUCCCUCAUCCCCCAGCAGCAGCAUGGUGCAGAGAGCCUCUCUGGGUGCUGGAGGAGGGAGAACACAUUUGUGAGGCAUUGAACUCAGUGCUGUUCUGUUGGCACAGAAAGCAGACCCAGACCAAACUCAGCUGACACCGCUUACAGAGGGAACAUUAAAACCGGGCCUUAGCCAGAGGGGAAUCACUGAUCACACAGGUCUGAACUUGAGUUCUGGCAAUCCUUGCCACUUAGGUCCAAAGUGCUCUUGGUCUCUAAGUAAACUUGAAAGGCAGUCUCUGCCACAAGGACUGUAACUCUUAGGCAAGUCCCAGGGCUGAACUUGACCCAGAAGCAGUGGACCGGGGAAAUACAUGACAUACUGAGACACCAAGUAUGGCAGCCAAGAGAGUGCUGGCAUUAACCCUUCCCUAACCCCAGACAGCACAGCUCAAAGCUGCAAAAGAGACUUCUUCCUUCUGCUUGAGGAGAAGAGAGGGAAGAGUAGGGAGGACUUUGUCCUGCAUCUUGGUUACUGGCUCAGCCACAACAAGGUAUCUCUACAACGCUGCAUGAAUCACAGCAUUCCUGGGCUUGGGGUGCCCCCUAAAGCAGAAACUGCUUAGUUCACAACACCCAAGUUCUUUCAAAUAUCUAGAAAGUUUUCCCAAGAAGAACAGCUACAAAUAAUAUGAGGCGGUAAAGACUACGAUAAAUACCUAACUCUUCAAUAUCCAGACACUGAAGAACAUCUACUAGAAUUAACAUCAUCCAUGAAACAUGACCUCACCAAAUCUACUAAAUAAGGCACCAAGGACCAAUCCUGGAGAAACAGAGAUAUGUGACCUUUCAGACAGAGAAUUCAAAAUAGUUGUGUUGAGGAAAGUUGAAGACAUUCAAGACAACACAGAGAAGAAAUUCAGAAUUCUAUCCGAUAAAUUAAACGAAGAUAUUGAAAUAAUUAAAAAGAAUGAAGCAGCAAUUCUGAACCAGUGUAUUUGAAAAUAUACUGUCAGAGGAAACAAACAAACAAAAAAGACAAAAAAAAGUACAUCUGUACGAUCUAGAAAAUAGCCUCAAAAGGUAAAAAUCUAAGAGUUAUUGAAGGUCUUUAAUAGUAUAUAUGGAAAGAUACAGGGAUAGAAAAUUUAUUCAGAGGAAUAAGAGAACUUCUGAAACUUAGAGAAAAAUAUCAAUAUCCAAUUACAAGAAAGUUAUAGUUCCAAUGCGGUGUCUCACGCCUGUAAUCCCAGCACUUAGGAAGGUCGAGGUGGGUGGAUUGCCUGAGCUCAGGAGUUCGAGACGACCCUGGGCAUCAUGGUGAAACCCCAUCUGUACUAAAAUACAAAAAAUUAGCCAGGUGGUGGCAUGUGCCUGUAGUCCCAGCUACUCGGGAGGCUGAGGUGUGACACUCACUUGAACCUGAGAGGUGGAGGUUGCAGUGAGCCAAGAUCACACCACUGCACUCCAGCUUGGGCUAGAGAGUGAGACUCCAACUCAAAAAAAAAAAAAAAAAAAUACAAGAAAGUUGUAGAAAACCAAGCAGAUUUAACCCAGAUAUGACUAACUCAACACAUUUAAUAAUCACACUCUCAAAGGUCAAGGAUAAAGAAAGGAUUCUAAAAGCAGCAAGAGAAGAGAAACAAUAACUUAAAGUGGACCUCCAAUAUGUCUGGCAGCAGACUCUUCAGUGGAAACUUUACAGGCCAGAAGAGUGGCAUGACAUAUCUAAAGAGGUGAAGGACAAAAACUUUUAAACUAGAGUAGUAUAUCUGGCAAUAAUAUCCUUUAAACAUGAAGGAGAAAUGAAGACUUUCCCAAACAAAAGCAGAAGGAUUUCAUCAAUACCAGACCCAUCCUACAAGAAAUAUCAAAGGGAGUACUUCAACCCCCCCCCGCAAAAAGUUAUUAUUGAGCAAUAAAUAAUCACCUGAAGGUACAAAACUUGUAAUAGUAAGUACGCAGCAAAACACGGACUAUGAUAACACUGUAGCUGUGGUGUGUAAACUAUUAUAAUUCUAAGUAGAAAGACUAAAUGAGGAACCAAUCAAAAAUAAUAGCUACAACAACUUUUCAAGACAUAGUCAGUACAAUAAGAUGCAAAUAGAAGAAACAAAAAGUUAAAAAGGGUGUUGCAUGUAAUUAACAUGAGUUUUUCUUAGUUUCCUUUGUGCUUAUUUGAUUGAUUAUUGAUGCAAAUAGUGUUAGAUUGUUAUCAGGUUAAAAUAAUGGGUUAUAAAAUAGUAUUUGCAAGCCUCAUGGUAACCUCAACCAAUAAAUAAAAAAGAUAGAAUGAGUACACAAAAAAUACAAAGCAGGAAACUAAAUUAUAUCACCAGGGAAAAUCAUCUUUACUAGAAGAAAACAGGAAUGAAAGAGGAAAGAGAAGACCACAAAACAGCCAGAAAACAAAUCACAAAAUGGCAGGACUAAGCCCUAACUUAUUAAUAAUAACAUUGAAUGAAAAUGGACUAAACUCUCCAAUACAAAAAUGUAGACAGCCCAAAUGGAUUUACAAAAACAAGACCCAUUGAUUGGUUGCUUACAAGAAACACUUUACCUGUGAAGACAAAUAUAGACUGAAAAUAAAGAUAUUUCUUGUCAAUGGAAACCAAAAAGACCAGGAGUCACUGUACUUAGAGAAAUUAGAUUUUAAGACAAAAACUAUAAGAAGAGGGAAAAAAGUCACUAUAUCAUGUUAAAGGGGUUAAUUCAGCAAGAUGAUACAACAAUUUUAAAUAUAUAUAUGCACCCAAUAUGGGAGCACCCAGAUAUAUAAAGUAAAUAUUAAUAGAGCUGUACAGAUAAAUAGGUCUUCUACAAUAAGAACAAGAGAUUUCAACACCCCACUUCUGGCACUGGACAGAUCUUCCAGAUAGAAAAUCAGGCCGGGCACAAUGGCUCACGCCUGUAAUCCCAGCAUUUUGGGAGGCCAAGACGGGUGGAUCACCUGAGGUCAGGAGUUUGAGACCAGCCUGGCCAACAUGGAGAAACCCCAUCUCUGCUAAAAAUACAAAAAAAAUUAACUGGGCGUGGUGGUGCACACCUGUGGUCCCAGACACUUGGGAGGCUGAGGCACGAGGAUCGCUUGGACCUGGGAGGCGGAGGUUGCAAUGAGCCGAGAUCAUGCCACUGCACUCCAGCCUGGGCAAAAAGAGUGAAACUCCGUCUCAAAAAAAAAAAAAAAAAAAAAAAAAAAAAAAAAAAAAAAAAAAAAAAAAUCAGUGAAGAAACAUCAGGUGUAAUCUGCAGUAUAGACAACAUAGAUCUAAUAGAUAUUUACAGAACAUUUCAUCCAAGAACUGCAGAAUACACACUCUUUUUCUCAGCACAUGGAUUAUUCUCAAAAACAGACCAUGUUUUAGAUCACAAGAGUCUUAAAACAUUCAAAAACCUGAAAUAAUAUCAAACAUCUUCUCUGAAAAAUAUAGAAUGAAACUAGAAAUAACAAGAGGAGUUUCAGAAUCUAUACAAAUACAGGGAAAUUAAACAAUAUGCUCCUGGAGCAGUGGGUCAAUAAAGAAAUCAAGAAGGAAAGUGAUAAAUAUCUUGAAACAAAUGAUAAUGAAAAUACAACAUACCAAAACCUAUGGUAUACAGCAAAAGCAGUACACAGAGAUAAGCUUAUAGCUUUAAGUGCCUACAUCAAAAAAGAGGAAAAACUUUAAAUAAACAAUGUAUUGGUGCAUCUUAAAGAACUAGAAAA